CCCUCAGGCGGCCUGUUCCACGCCAGGAUUAGUUUUGCUUCGCAGAUGGGCCGUGGUGGUGAGAGGAAGCAAUCAGUAUGGAAAUGGAGAAAUGGCUUACCAUGCAUGUCCUUCUCCCCAGGAGGGAGGUCGUGGUGCAGGCGAGCAGACGCCAGACUCCUGGACACUUGCCGCCUGCGUUAUGGAGGCUUAGCUAAUAACCUUGCAGGGGUCUUCAGGCUUUUCCACUGGCUCACCUUUAGGCUUCUGACACUUUUACCUACGAUAAUGCAGUAGUUACUUUUUGAAGGACGACCGAAGCAGGAUAUUUCCCUGACCCCUUCAUGGGACCCACGUCAGAGGUGUUUACUCAGCCUGCUGCCCACAACUCCUCACAGGAGGGAGCGCACAAGUGAACGAGGGUGAGGACUGGAGAGCACCAGCACUGGAACAACCCGGCCACUUCGGCGCUACUGGGAUCAAACUCCAUCACUUGGACACACUGUGUUCCACCCCUCGUGGGAGGGAGCAUGCAGGUGAGAGGAUGCAGGAGUCAGGGUGAGCACUUUUGGGCUCCAGCAGGAGCAAACUCUGUGCAGGGCCCUGCAGCAGUGACUGAGGGGC
rnacentral:lncRNA from 1 species